rnacentral:rRNA from 1 species
CCUACGGGAGGCAGCAGUGAGGAAUAUUGGUCAAUGGACGAGAGUCUGAACCAGCCAAGCAGCGUGAAGGAUGACUGUCCUAUGGGUUGUAAACUUCUUUUAUAUGGGAAUAAAAUGUUCCACGUGUGGGAUUUUGUAUGUACCAUACGAAAAAGGAUCGGCUAACUCCGUACCAGCCGCCGCGGUAAUACGGAGGAUCCGAGCGUUAUCCGGAUUUAUUGGGUUUAAAGGGAGCGUAGGUGGAUUGUUAAGUCAGUUGUGAAAGUUUGCGGCUCAACCGUAAAAUUGCAGUUGAAACUGGAAGUCUUGAGUACAGUAGAGGUGAGCGGAAUUCGUGGUGUAGCGGUGAAAUGCUUAGAUAUCACGAAGAACUCCGAUUGCGAAGGCAGCUCACUGGACUGCAACUGACGCUGAGGCUCGAAAGUGUGGGUAUCAAACAGGAUUAGAUACCCCGGUAGUC